CAGUAGCCGCGGGAAUACGGAAGGUCCAGGCGUUAUCCGGAUUUAUUGGGUUUAAAGGGAGUGUAGGCGGUCUGUUAAGCGUGUUGUGAAAUUUAGGUGCUCAACAUCUAACUUGCAGCGCGAACUGGCGGACUUGAGUGCACGCAACGUAUGCGGAAUUCAUGGUGUAGCGGUGAAAUGCUUAGAUAUCAUGACGAACUCCGAUUGCGAAGGCAGCGUACGGGAGUGUUACUGACGCUUAAGCUCGAAGGUGCGGGUAUCGAACAGGAUUAGAGACCCCCGUAGUCCCUGUCUCUUAUAC
rnacentral:rRNA from 1 species